AUUGAACGCUGGCGGCAGGCCUAACACAUGCAAGUCGAACGAGUGGCGGACGGGUGAGUAAUGUCUGGGAAACUGCCUGAUGGAGGGGGAUAACUACUGGAAACGGUCGCCAAUACCGCAUACCAUCGGAUGUGCCCAGCUGGGAUUAGCUAGUAGGUGGGGUAAAGGCUCACCUAGGCGACGAUCCCUAGCUGGUCUGAGAGGAUGACCAGCCACACUGGAACUGAGACACGGUCCAGACUCCUACGGGAGGCAGCAGUGGGGAAUAUUGCACAAUGGGCGCAAGCCUGAUGCAGCCAUGCCGCGUGAGUGAAGAAGGCCUUCGGGUUGUAAAUCUCUGUCAGCAGGGAGGCGUUACCCGCCGAGAAAGCCCCGGCUAACUACGUGCCAGCAGCCGCGGUAAUUC
rnacentral:rRNA from 1 species